GUGGGGAAUCUUCCGCAAUGGACGAAAGUCUGACGGAGCAACGCCGCGUGAACGAUGACGGCCUUCGGGUUGUAAAGUUCUGUUAUACGGGACGAAUGGUACGACGGUCAAUACCCGUCGUAAGUGACGGUACCGUAAGAGAAAGCCACGGCUAACUACGUGCCAGCAGCCGCGGUAAUACGUAGGUGGCAAGCGUUGUCCGGAAUUAUUGGGCGUAAAGGGCGCGCAGGCGGCGUCGUAAGUCGGACUUAAAAGUGCGGGGCUUAACCCCGAGAGGGGACCGAAACUGCGAUGCUAGAGUAUCGGAGAGGAAAGCGGAAUUCCUAGUGUAGCGGUGAAAUGCGUAGAUAUUAGGAGGAACACCAGUGGCGAAAGCGGCUUUCUGGACGACAACUGACGCUGAGGCGCGAAAGCCAGGGGAGCAAACGGGAUUAGAUACCCUAGUAGUCC
rnacentral:rRNA from 1 species